GUGCUCACUUCAGCAGCACAUAUACUAAGAUUGGAACAAUAUGGAGAUUAGCAUGGUCCCUGCACAAGGAUGACACACAAAUUCAUGAAGCAUUCCAUAUUAAA